rnacentral:rRNA from 1 species
AUACGGAGGAUCCGAGCGUUAUCCGGAUUUAUUGGGUUUAAAGGGUGCGCAGGCGGCCAUUUAAGUCAGCGGUUAAAUCGUGGGGCUCAACCCCAUUCUGCCGUUGAUACUGGGUGGCUUGAUUGCGGUCGAGGUUGGCGGAAUUCGUUGUGUAGCGGUGAAAUGCAUAGAUAUGACGAAGAACACCGAUUGCGUAGGCAUCUGACCAGACCGCAAGUGACGCUCAUUCACGAAAGUGCGGGGAUCGAACAUGAUUAGAUACCCUGGUAGUCCGCACAGUAAACGAUGAAUACUUGUUUUCGGCGAUAUAAUGUCGGAGGCAAAGCGAAAGCGAUAAGUAUUCCGCCUGGGGAGUACGCCGGCAACGGUGAAACUCAAAGGAAUUGACGGGG